rnacentral:tRNA from 1 species
GGGGAUAUAGCUGAGUUGGUAGAGUGCUUGCCUCAUAUGCACAAGACCCCUGGGUUCAAUCCCCAGUACACCA